AUGUGGUGUUCUCAUCCCCCGAGCAACACUGAAGGUGGAUGUGGAGUUAUAGCAUUUAACUAUGUUGAUUUGCAGCAUGCAACUAAAAAUUUCUCAGAGAAGCUAGGUGUAGGUGGUUUUGGCUCUGUAUUUAAGGGGAUUCUGCGUGACUCGACUACCAUAGCAGUGAAGAUGCUUGAUGGUGCACGCCAAGGAGAGAAACAGUUAAGGGCUGAGGUCAGCACAAUUGGAAUGAUCCAACAUGUCAACUUAGUCAAACUGAUUGGUUUUUGCUGUGAAGGUGGCAGAAGGAUGCUUAUUUACGAACACAUGGCAAAUCGUUCUCUUGAUGUCCAUAUAUUCCAAGGCAACAACACUAUGCUAGAUUGGAGUACAAGGUUCCUAAUUGCCAUCGGUGUUGCCAAAGGAUUGUCCUACUUGCAUGAGAGUUGUCAUGACUGCAUAAUACAUUGCGAUAUUAAGCCAGAAAACAUACUUCUCGAUGCGGCGCUUGUUCCUAAAAUUGCAAAUUUUGGGAUGGCAAAACUUAUGGGAAGGAACUUUAGUCGAGUUCUGACAACAAUGAGAGGAACCAUAGGAUACCUUGCACCUGAAUGGAUUAGUGGGGUGGCUCUUACACAAAAAGUUGAUGUUUACAGCUAUGGAAUGGUACUGCUAGAAAUCAUGUCUGGAAGGAGGAACUCAUCACCUCAAGAAUGUACAAGCAAUAGUGAGCAUGAUGUUUAUUUUCCUGUGCAAGCUGCACUUAAGCUUCUUGAGGGAGAUGUGAGGACUUUGGUCGAUCAACAAUUACGUGGUGACAUGAACGUGGAGGAGGUUGAAAGAGCUUGCAAAGCUGCAUGUUGGUGCAUUCAAGAUCAUGACUUUGAUCGUCCGACAAUGGGCGAAGUGGUUCAGGUUCUCGAGGGUCUAGUAGAGCUUGAUAUGCCCCCAGUGUCAAGAUUGCUUCAAGCUAUAUCAGGAAGCUCUUCUACAAUUUGA
rnacentral:rRNA from 1 species